CUGUAAGAAAAUAAAUAUCUGCCUUAGCAGGGCAUCACUUUUGGAAGGAGAUUACAUUCACAGCAAUGUGGACCUCCAGCAACACCCCAGAUUGAAGUAGGAGAAGCGGGCACAGAAUUUACUCCUUCCUACUGAUGCCUCCGUGACCUGCUUGGGGUUUGGGAAUGACUCCCAUACAGCAAAAGCAAAUAUGAGUACAAUGAGCAGAGGUGAAGUCGUGGCUUCACAACCCAAUUCAG
ensembl:ribozyme RNaseP_nuc Nuclear RNase P